AGGGAUGUAGCUUAGUUGGUAAGAGUGCUUGCCUAGCGUGCACAAGGCCCUGGGUUCAAUCCCCAGCACCACAA
rnacentral:tRNA from 1 species